rnacentral:rRNA from 1 species
AACGAACGCUGGCGGCAUGCCUAAUACAUGCAAGUCGAACGAGAUCUUCGGAUCUAGUGGCGAACGGGUGCGUAACGCGUGGGAAUCUACCCUUGGGUUCGGAAUAACUUCUGGAAACGGAAGCUAAUACCGGAUGAUGACGUAAGUCCAAAGAUUUAUCGCCCAAGGAUGAGCCCGCGUAGGAUUAGGUAGUUGGUGAGGUAAAGGCUCACCAAGCCGACGAUCCUUAGCUGGUCUGAGAGGAUGAUCAGCCACACUGGGACUGAGACACGGCCCAGACUCCUACGGGAGGCAGCAGUAGGGAAUAUUGGACAAUGGGCGAAAGCCUGAUCCAGCAAUGCCGCGUGAGUGAUGAAGGCCUUAGGGUUGUAAAGCUCUUUUACCCGGGAUGAUAAUGACAGUACCGGGAGAAUAAGCUCCGGCUAACUCCGUG